AAAAACGAUAAUAGAGACUUCUAAUCUCAAACUCAGUGAAUAUCACUUCGUUUUUU
rnacentral:tRNA from 1 species